AAAUUGAUGAAUUAUAACAGAUCUAGGUAGAAUUUAUCCACCCCCAUCCCUACCCCCUUUUUGGGUAGAUAACAGAAAUGUGCAAUUCACUGUACUAUGGAGACUGGAAGGUCUACUACAUUUAUUGCUGUGCCAGUUCUCCUUAUAAGUUGUUGUUGCUGCUUUUGUUUUAUUUAUUCUGUCUAUGGGUGUGUUUGUUUUCUGUUUGUUUUUCUGUCUUUCUAGGUAGCCUUAGCUGGCCUGAUACUUGCUAUGUAAUCCAAAUUGGCUUUGAACUCCUAGCAAUCCUCCUGAGUUAACUCUCCGUGUGCUGGGAUUACAGGCUCUGACAAAAUGCCUGGGAGAAACAACUUAAGAGAAAAGGGUCUAUUUUGGCUCAUGUCAAAGGAUCCCAACUACGAUGGUGAGGCAGAUAUUGUGGUAGAAGUGGCUGAGUUAAGUUCUUAGUCUGUGUUGAUGUGAGUACCAAGCAGAUGGUCACUUCAUGAGGAGAAAACAGGGAGCUAGACUGGAUCCAGCGGUAUGUAUGGGAAGCUGCUUCUGUUUGCAAGGCCACAUAUUCCUAGUUCACAGCCUCAUACAACAGUGCCACAAGCUGGUGAGUUUUCAAAUACGUGCACUCCCAGGAACAUAAUAUAUGGAAAUAAUCUUGCAUCUCCUCACUGGUAAUCUUUGUCCGGGUGAACUGGAAGGGUCCUUAGAGUAGGAGUGAGCUGGAUUGCUAAACAGAGUUCCAUUAUUCUCCUAUCAGAUCAAUAAAUUUUCACUUGUUCUGAGGUACUAUUUAUGGAUUAGUAAAAUACCCACAAUAACAUCUACAGACAGAAAGGUAUAGGCUCAGAAAUUAACAGCCUUGAGUUGCAGGUGGAAGGUGCAGAAGCCAAAUUAAAAACAGUCUUUUCAGGCUGAGCUCAGGAGCCUGAAUUUCCAUGCUGUAAGUGGCUGGGAUCCACUGGAGGAUUUUAAUUGUGUAAGUUGACAAGAUCAGAUUUGCUAUUCAGAAAGCACACCCUGGCACAGAUCGGUGGGUGGAAUAGAAAGUGGUUGCCCUGGAGACAGGCAGACCCAUUAGGAAGCUCUGACAAAGAUCCAGGAGAGAGAAAAUGAGGAUAGUGGUUGGAGGAAUGAGCAGAUUCAAAGACAUUUUAGAGGUGGAACGGAUGGUCGGGAGACGCUCAUUCAGUGUAAAUGCUGAAGGAAAGGAAGAACCAAGGAGCGCUGUGGUUUCCAGCUUGGAUUUCUAUAUGGAUAGUGAAUAAUUAAUGAAGAUGUGGCGGGCGGGCAUAAUGGGGACUUAAGAGGGAGGUAGUUGUAGAUGGACGUGAUCAAUAUACAUUUGUUUAAAUGUGUAUAACUUUCAAAGAGUAAGAGAAUUAUUAUUUUAAUAGAUCAAGGUAUAAAAUACAAAAAAAAGUCAAAUGGGGGGGGGGGUUUGCUAAUGAAUUCAUAUGUGACCUGUUGAAUUUGAUGUAUCUUUUGGACUUGUAGGUGAAGAAGUCACAUGUGGUGAAUAUAUUAUCAUCAGAAUGCGGAGCAAUGAAAUGUAAACAGAUAGGAAUCGUCACUAAAGCUCCAACUGCAGCCUCCGGGUGCCAUAGCUUUUGCACCAUCCAUUUGCACCAUCUCUGCAUUGCUCUCAAUCACUGCCACGAGUCUGGUGAUGCGCUAAGCUCGGGGCAGGAUCUCAAGGGCUUUGAGGAUGUCUGCAUCAUCUGUAUUGACCUGCUCCCCAGAUUAAUACCGAAGCACUGCAAUUUCUUGAGGAUUAUCCACCUAGGAGGAAAUGAUACGCUGGCCCAUCCAUAGUAGUCAAGGUUUCUUGGAAGAGAAGAAUGAGAUUGGAUCUGAGAAAAUGUGGCUGGGAACCACCAUCUCAGAUGGUAGAAACCACUCAGAAGGAUCAACUGCUGCAGACGGGAAGAGGAGCAACCUCGUGAAUAAUUUCGUGACAGGAUAUUGCAGGAGGGACUUUGUCCAAAUGUGUGCAGGGUAGUUGGCUACAGCAACAAGGAUGACGAACACAGAUGAAUUGAUCAGGAUGUAACCAUUCAAAGUUGAGAGGAUUAGAGGACUUCUCCGAGGCGGCUCCAAUGGAUGCCAGCAGAGUUAAAGUGUCCAAUGGAGAGAAGAGAAGGCUUGGGAAAUCCAGAGUCCAUUCAUUCAUCGCCCUCCUCCUAGAACAACAAAAGCGAGCCCCAGUACUCAUCAGCAUGGACUCUGUGUGUAGUCAUCUCCCUUAGUUUCAGAGGUUCCUGCCUACAGCAAAACUUUAGAGGCUUAGAGUUUAACGGUCAUAGCUUAUUCACCUCCAACUGUGUCCUAGUUCAAGAGAAACACUUCACAUAUCUGUAGGGAGAAGAUAAUGAACCAAGGAUACAAGUUAAGCCUUAGCUAAGACCUGUUACUCAGGAAAAAGAGCUAAAACAAGCUGCUUAGAUCAGCACCAAUGUUAGGUAGAGAGAAAAAGAAACGCUGCAUAGAAAUCUUAAGGUUCACAUGUGCUCCAGGCUGGGUCAACAACUUCUAAUUUCCUUUGCCAACCAACCAUGUCUUUGACAGAAAUGAUCCUUCUACAUAGACCACAGAGGGAUCCAAUGGAGGUUUCUCUUCCUGAAUUUGGGGAUUCAGAAUCUGGACAAAUUCCUUUCCAUCAAAGUCCAGUACAAAAGUAGUACCAUGGCAGUCCCUGCAGGGACUUGCAUCACUUUCCCUAGAGAUAUCAAGAGAAUUUUUAGUGAUAAGAAUAUGGCACAAAAUGAGAAAUCCCAUUACUCUUAAGAGAAUCUCUUCCUUCUCAAAGGCACCUGAUUAAUACAUAUAGUACUAUCAGUAAGGCUGAGCAAAAGGAUACUGAUGUUCUGAGUGAUCUUAAAUCAUGUAAUAAUAACUUUAUUCGUAGUAUAGAACGGAAUAUUCCCUAUUAGUAAUCAGUUCCUUUGCCAGAUCCUCAUAGUAUCUUAGUCACUGUUUUAUUGUUAUGAAGAGAAACUUUGACCACAGCACCUCUUAGAAAAAAGGAAGCAUUUAAUCGGGACUUCCUUAUGGUUUCACAGUUUUACAUAAUUGUCAACAUGGCAGAGAACAUGGGGGCACGCAAACAGACAUGGUGCUGGAGAAGUAGCGGAGAAUAUACAGCAACAUAUAGAUACAAAAUAUAGAUACAUAUAGAUACAGAAUAUAGAUACAUAUAGCUACAUAUAGAUCUGCAGGCAGCAGGAAGAGACUGGGACAAGGCCAUACCUUCUAAGGCUUCUCAAGGAGUGUCACUUCCUGAUGACCAAGCAUUCAAGUGUAUGAGCUUAUGGGAGCCAUUCUUAUUCAAGCCACCACACAUAGCAAAGCUGAUAAUGUCAUUUUCUGAAUUAACCAGGCCAAGGCACACUUCUUAGCAACAUGGUUACCUGGUAACCAGAGAUUUUUCUCAUCCCAUGAGAGAUUUCAUUCAAGAACUGAUCUUCUAACAGUUUUGUCUCUCUUAAGAAUGCUACAGACAGGGUGGGGUGAGGCACAGUGCUGAAGCCCCUCAAGUUUCCCAGAGGGAUGAGUCCAUGAAAGACGAAAAUCAUGUGGUCACACUGAGCAUAGACUUCACAAGCAUCAUGCUAGGAUUCCAUUUUCUUUCUCAACACAAUGAUAAAUUCUUCUUCCAAUAAGCAGAAAAUCAUCCAAUGGGAAAAAAAAAUAAAACCAACUAACUUGCAGUCCUUUGGAACAGUUUCAUAGCUUACAGGAUGGCUUCAUAACCCUGGGGACACUCGUUUUGACAUGAAAACUUCCUUCAGAACAGGAAUUCUGAUCCAACAUGUGCUCAGACAUCAUUUCAGUCACUUGCAAAUGAACAAGAAAGCUCAUGUAAAUGAGGAGGCUCAACUCCCAGGCCUGGUGAGUGGGUAAGACAUUCCUCUGCUGGGUUUUGAAGGCUGUCUGAAACCAUCGGCUGACAUCCUUCUCUGUGUGCAUGUAUGCACUAUCUACGGGAAAUUCAGCUCCAACCGGUUGUCUCUACAGCUCCCUUAAUCUUCUCCUCCCUCCUCCUGGCAUUGGCAUGUGUCCCAGGACUGCAGCGAGGAGUGCUUACCAACAAAGGUGCUGGCAUCUGCAUUUGUUUCACAGCCACAAACCUAAUGGUUCCAUGAUUUUGGCGAGCAAAACUGUCAAAAUGCCUGAGCACAAGAGAUCACAAGAUGAGCCAAGGCAUAGUGUGCAUGCCUUCCUUCCCAGCACUCGGAAGGCAGAGGCAAGGGGAUCUCUGUGGGUUCAAGGCCAGCCUGAAUCACAAGGUGUACUGGGGAUUCUUUUUUAUUGUUUUCCUUUUGCUAUCUGGAAUAGUUUGAGAUUGUAUUUGAUCAGUGCAUUAAACAAC
rnacentral:lncRNA from 1 species